UACAGAGGUCUCAAGCGUUGUUCGGAUUCAUUGGGCGUAAAGGGUGUGUAGGUGGCGCGCUAAGUCGGGUGUGAAAUUUCGGAGCUUAACUGCGAAACUGCAUUCGAUACUGGCGUGCUUGAGGACUGGAGAGGAGACUGGAAUUCAUGGUGUAGCAGUGAAAUGCGUAGAGAUCAUGAGGAAGACCAGUGGCGAAGGCGGGUCUCUGGGCCGAUACUGACGCUGAGGAGCGAAAGCGUGGGGAGCGAACAGG
rnacentral:rRNA from 1 species